CUCCCUCAUGACUCAUGACAGCCCAUCACAUCAGGAGCCCACUCGCUCCCCCAAGCCCCCAGCAGCUCCUCUACUGUCACCAGGGAGGAUCGCUUCAUCACUUCGCAUGGGCCUGCCUCUAAGGUCAAAGGUCACCGCUCCAGUGUUCCAGUAAGAGAAGUAAACAUCACCCCGUGAAGACACUAAUGUGCUGGAUUAUCACAGGGCGCUUCGUUCUCACAUAUUCCAUAACUGCGAAGCCUUCGGUUUGUUUGAAUCUCUGUGACUGUGCCGGGCCUGAAGACUGGAGAUAGCAGCUCACGACUGGCCGCUGAUAACACCGAGCAGAGUGGAGGCCCCCGCUUGUAUGGCCCAGGGCAGGAGACUCUGGGAAGAAAGACAGGCUCUGCUACUCUCUGUCUGCACCAAGCAAGUUUUGUUGUUUUGGGCUUUUUGGACAGCUGUGAGCAAGAUAUCUGCUACACUCCAGGACAUCCAAGACAAAAAUCCCUGAUGUCACCUCACAGGGCAUGUGGAUUGAUAAGAACAGGCCUUUGAAUUCUCUAUUUAGACCCGAGAAGUCUGCAGAUGGGUACACUUCAGCUUGCCUAAAUUGAUUACAGUGCAAACAAUAUGACAACAUUGGCAGCUACAACAAUGCUAGAUCCUGACACUGAGUUAAGAUCGGGUGAAUGUGCUCUUGCAUUUCAUUUCUUGUUAUGACAAGGUGCAAUUGGAAUGAAAAUCUAGCUGCAUUGAAUCUCCAUUUCCCUCUUCUUCUGAGCUAAACCUGAAGCCAGCAGCACAGAGCAAACAUCACUUGGAGACGGGGAUGCUGGAGGAGUGAAGCAUGCAGGGUUUAAGCACGGAGCUUGUCAGCGCUGGCGACCUCUCGGUGCCGCUCUGAGUGCCAGUCAGCCGUGCGCCGCGGUGCAUCCGUCUCCUCCACUCUCCGCAGGCUGCACUCGGGCUUCUGGGUGAUGGACUCUAUUUGCACACAAACACGGAUCAGGGAAGGGGGCGGCCGAGGCAGGCUUUUAAAAGCACCGUCAAGGACAUUUUGCGGCACACUCACUGAAUUAGACAUUUGAAAAGGAGAAGAGAGAGAGAGAGAGAGAGAGAGAGAGAGAGAGAGAGAGAGAGAGAGAGAGAGAGAGAGAGAGAGAGAGAGAGAGAGAGAGAGAGAGAGAGAGAGAGAGAGAGAGAGAGAGAGAGAGAGAGAGAGCUCUUCUGAGAAAAUAGUGGUGUUCUGCUGUCGGGAGUGAGAAAGGAAUGUUUUACAUUGGUGUCCUCUUUCAAUGCCCAGGUCACUUGUUCUUUGUAGUCUUUGUCUUUCAGUUUACCUUCUUGCAAAUAAAAUGACAGGGCAGGAACAGUCUGGGCGAGGAUUGGGGCUUUUGUUUCGGGUCGAGAAAGAUAGUGCUAACAAACGCAUCAGUGACUCAGACACACAUCAUCUCAGUCAUCUGCUGCCUUGUGUGGUCAUGGUGUGACUCUCUGUUAUGGUUCCCCCGAAAGAAAAUAAAGAG